CCUACGGGAGGCAGCAGUAGGGAAUCUUCCACAAUGGGCGAAAGCCUGAUGGAGCACCGCCGCGUGGGUGAAGAAGGUCUUCGGAUCGUAAAACCCUGUUGUUAGAGAAGAAAGUGCGUGAGAGUAACUGUUAACGUUUCGACGGUAUCUAACCAGAAAGCCACGGCUAACUACGUGCCAGCAGCCGCGGUAAUACGUAGGUGGCAAGCGUUAUCCGGAUUUAUUGGGCGUAAAGGGAACGCAGGCGGUCUUCUAAGUCUGAUGUGACAGCCUUCGGCUUAACCGGAGUAGUGCAUUGGAAACUGGGAGACUUGAGUGCAGAAGAGGAGAGUGGAACUCCAUGUGUAGCGGUGAAAUGCGUAGAUAUAUGGAAGAACACCAGUGGCGAAGGCGGCUCUCUGGUCUGUAACUGACGCUGAGGUUCGAAAGCGUGGGUAGCAAACAGGAUUAGAUACCCUGGUAGUC
rnacentral:rRNA from 1 species